GUCCAUCCAGAGACCAAGAAAGAAGCACAAGGAUCCUGCAGAGUCUUCCGAAGCCCAAGCCAAAUAUAUGAGGCAGGGAGCUAGAGAAUGUGGAGGAAGUGGUCAGUAGGAAAAGGAAUGGGAACAGACAUUCUCCUUCAGAAACUUGAGGUCCAGUCCCUGAACUUUAGCUGGCCCCAAAACUUGAGCAAGCUCUAAAAAGCAGAACAUCUCCCACUUAACAGUUUAUUCUGAGAACUGGCCAACCACAGGAGGGAAAAUCAUAUCUCCAGUUAAAGUGCCCUGAUCAUGCCAUCUGCUCAUCCUACCCCCUUUGCCCUGCUCCCACACA
rnacentral:lncRNA from 1 species